rnacentral:rRNA from 1 species
AGAGUUUGAUCCUGGCUCAGGAUGAACGCUGGCGGCGUGCUUAACACAUGCAAGUCGAACGAUUAACCCGCCCUCGGGCGGUUAUAGAGUGGCGAACGGGUGAGUAACACGUGACCAACCUGCCCCUUGCUCCGGGACAACCCAGGGAAACCUCGGCUAAUACCGGAUACUCCGCGCAGCCCGCAUGGGAGGCGCGGGAAAGCCCAGACGGCAAGGGAUGGGGUCGCGGCCCAUUAGGUAGACGGCGGGGUAACGGCCCACCGUGCCCGCGAUGGGUAGCCGGACUGAGAGGUCGACCGGCCACAUUGGGACUGAGAUACGGCCCAGACUCCUACGGGAGGCAGCAGUGGGGAAUUUUGCGCAAUGGGGGAAACCCUGACGCAGCAACGCCGCGUGCGGGACGAAGGCCUUCGGGUUGUAAACCGCUUUCAGCAGGGAAUAUAGUGAAGGUACCUGCAGAAGAAGCUCCGGCUAACUACGUGCCAGCAGCCGCGGUAAUACGUAGGGAGCGAGCGUUAUCCGGAUUCAUUGGGCGUAAAGCGCGCGUAGGCGGCCCGUCAAGCGGGGUUUCAAAUCCAGGGGCUCAACCUCUGGCCGGACCCCGAACUGGCGGGCUCGAGUGCGGUAGAGGAAGGUGGAAUUCCCAGUGUAGCGGUGAAAUGCGCAGAUAUUGGGAAGAACACCGAUGGCGAAGGCAGCCUUCUGGGCCGCCACUGACGCUGAGGCGCGAAAGCUAGGGGAGCGAACAGGAUUAGAUACCCUGGUAGUCCUAGCCGUAAACGAUGGGCACUAGGUGUGGGGGAGCAUCUCCUCCGUGCCGCAGCCAACGCAUUAAGUGCCCCGCCUGGGGAGUACGGCCGCAAGGCUAAAACUCAAAGGAAUUGACGGGGGCCC